GGGGAUUUAGCUCAGCGGCAUAAGCGCCUGCCUUGCAAGCAGGCAGUUGUGAGUUCGAUCUCCAGUACCGA
rnacentral:tRNA from 1 species